AUCCAAUCACAACUGUUUAAACUUCAAAACGUAGAUUUAAAAAGAUUUUUAAGGAAUCAUAGAAUAUUACUAAUAUGGUCCGUUACAAAGAAUCCUUGUCAUUCACAUGCAGUCCAUUUCUUCAUCAAGAGGUCAAGAAGAGGAUUGUACUAGAGUUAUAGAACUAGAUCAAGAUGGAUACCUCGUCCAUGAAAGUUUGCAUGCAUUUCUGAAUAUGAUAUAAUAUUAAAUAUAUCUAAAUACUUCAUUAACUUAUCACCAUCAUAGAUUGUGCUGUGUCAAAUCGACCCUUCACUUGUGCUUCCCUCACUGUACCUUGGUAAACAACUCAAUUCUUUGCAGUAAUUAAUCAUCUUCAUAUUACUGGGAGGAUUUUGUAUCCUAACGAAUGGAAGUAAAUUUUAUGUGCUGUCAUUUCCUAUUCAUAGUAAGUAUGAUCAUUUUUGCACUUAGUUAGAACAUGAAUAACUAUACUAUAUGGAUGAUCACGAUCUACGCAACAUCUGAAGCUCACCUUUUCAGUUAGUUAUUAAAACGAUAUUGUUUAUUACCAUUGUGAUACUUAGGACUUUUAAUAAUGCCAUCAAUUACAUGUGUGUGACUCGUAAAAAGUAAAGGAAUCAGUUUUUGAACAUGAGCAAGUCUUUUGAAGUCCUUAUUUCUUCCUCUCAUCACGAGGCAGAUAAGUAUCUAGUUCAUAGUCGUUAUAUAGGAUUCAAGAUUUCAAAUUUUACUCUGAGACAGCAAGUGUAUUUACAUAUAGUGGUGGAGGAUAUCCGCCUCCUUAGGGAAGGACUUUAAUGAUAGGAAGAUGAAAAACACCAAUCUGAUCCCUCAUUAAUUUGGAUGGGCCUUUCUGACCUUAAAAUUCAUCAAGGAGGGUUAUAAUAAUCUAGUUGCUGGAUUUAUUUCAGGAUCAUUAGUACACGAGUUUCCCUAAUUUACAUACUACAACGUCAAUAUAUAUUAUUAUAUCUGCGAUAUCUUUAAAAAUGAUUGAACACGUUGAAGUUUUCGAGGAAGAGUUAUCAGCAUAAGAGGAUGGAGAUAUAUCAUAUUCUAUUCAUAUAUAUAGCCUUAUAAAUUUAUAGGGAUUUCCUGGUGGGGCAAUGGGAUGGUUGCCCUCACCUCAAAUGAAAAAUGCCUGUCUCCUCCUGGGUUAUUUUCCUUAUCCCAUUCAGUCCAAAUCUUUCUUUCAUCCUUUGGUCAAGACUCCAAAACCUUUUAAAACGCAACGUUUCUAUGGCAACUCCUUUCGUUGUUUCCUUUCCUGCUGAUCCCAUCAUUGGCUCGGUAUACACCUCAUAUCAAUAUAUUCUAUGAGCCUAAUGAUAUAUGAAUUCGAUGUUCCAACUUUUUCUAAUAGUAUAGAAUUAAAGCUCAACGAAAAAUGAAAAAUCCAAUACUGGAGAUUUAGUGUUUCUGAAAUCUUUGUUUAAAUUAAUGGACGCAGUGACUGGUCAAUUUAAUUGCUUGCUCGAAAUUCAUAUAGUUAGAAAUUUACAAUGACUUAGCUUCAUCAAUAUUUCAAGAAAGUUAGAAGUUGAUUCAGAAUCCAACUACUUUGAAUCUGGAUACCUAUAAUAUAAGUGUUCUGCUUUCUGGAAGUAUUAUGAAGAUUUAAUUCCGGAACUACAUCUUCAUUCAGUGGACCGUGUUUGGUUGCAAUACACAAGCGAGACGUGGAGUUUAAUCAAAAAGAUAAUCACCCCUCUUCUUCAUGUGGAAGUUGCUAUAUAC
rnacentral:lncRNA from 1 species